AUUGAACGCUAGCGGGAUGCUUUACACAUGCAAGUCGAACGGCAGCGCGGACUUCGGUCUGGCGGCGAGUGGCGAACGGGUGAGUAAUGUAUCGGAACGUGCCCAGUAGCGGGGGAUAACUACGCGAAAGCGUAGCUAAUACCGCAUACGCCCUACGGGGGAAAGCAGGGGAUCGUAAGACCUUGCACUAUUGGAGCGGCCGAUAUCGGAUUAGCUAGUUGGUGAGGUAACGGCUCACCAAGGCGACGAUCCGUAGCUGGUUUGAGAGGACGACCAGCCACACUGGGACUGGGACACGGCCCAGACUCCUACGGGAGGCAGCAGUGGGGAAUUUUGGACAAUGGGGGCAACCCUGAUCCAGCCAUCCCGCGUGUGCGAUGAAGGCCUUCGGGUUGUAAAGCACUUUUGGCAGGAAAGAAACGUCGCGGGCUAAUACCCCGUGGAACUGACGGUACCUGCAGAAUAAGCACCGGCUAACUACGUG
rnacentral:rRNA from 1 species